CAAGAAGCCGAAAGGCUACUUAAAACCAUCGCGAACUUAUCCAAGUUGCUUCGGCGGCGCGGCUCCCCUCACGGGGGACCGCAACCCCCGCCUCUCAGGAGGUAAGGGGCAGCCGCCGGAGGUACGAAACUCUGUAUUAUAGUGGUAUCUCUGAGUAUAAAACAAAUAAGUUA
rnacentral:misc_RNA from 1 species